rnacentral:rRNA from 1 species
AUACGAAGGGUGCAAGCGUUACUCGGAAUUACUGGGCGUAAAGCGUGCGUAGGUGGUUGUUUAAGUCUGUCGUGAAAGCCCUGGGCUCAACCUGGGAAUGGCGAUGGAAACUGGGCGACUAGAGUGUGGCAGAGGGUAGUGGAAUUCCUGGUGUAGCAGUGAAAUGCGUAGAGAUCAGGAGGAACAUCCGUGGCGAAGGCGACUGCCUGGGCCAACACUGACACUGAGGCAAGAAAGCGUGGGGAGCAAACAGGAUUAGAUACCCUGGUAGUCCACGCCCUAAACGAUGCGAACUGGAUGUUGGGUGCAAUUUGGCACGCAGUAUCGAAGCUAACGCGUUAAGUUCGCCGCCUGGGGAGUACGGUCGCAAGACUGAAACUCAAAUGAAUUGGCGUGG